rnacentral:rRNA from 1 species
UACGUAGGGGGCUAGCGUUGUCCGGAAUCAUUGGGCGUAAAGAGCGUGUAGGCGGCCCGGUAAGUCCGCUGUGAAAGUCGGGGGGCUCAACCCUCGAAUGCCGGUGGAUACUGUCGGGCUAGAGUGCGGAAGAGGCGAGUGGAAUUCCUGGUGUAGCGGUGAAAUGCGCAGAUAUCAGGAGGAACACCGAUUGCGAAGGCAGCUCGCUGGGGACGUCACUGACGCUGGAGACGCGAAAAGCGUGGGGGAGCAAACAGG